AUUGAACGCUGGCGGCAGGCCUAACACAUGCAAGUCGAGCGAGCGGCGGACGGGUGAGUAAUGUCUGGGAACCUGCCUGAUGGAGGGGGAUAACUACUGGAAACGGUAGCUAAUACCGCAUACCAUCAGAUGUGCCCAGAUGGGAUUAGCUAGUCGGUGGGGUAACGGCUCACCUCGGCGACGAUCCCUCGCUGGUCUGAGAGGGUGAGCGGCCAACCUGGAACUGAGACACGGCCCAGACUCCUACGGGAGGCAGCAGUUGGGAAUCUUCGGCAAUGGACGAAAGUCUGAUACAGCCAUGCCGCGUGUUUGAAGAAGGCCUUCGGGUUGUAAAGCACUUUCAGCGGGGAGGCGUUACCCGCAGAAGAAGCACCGGCUAACUACGUGCCAGCAGCCGCGGUAAUUC
rnacentral:rRNA from 1 species